rnacentral:rRNA from 1 species
AUUGAACGCUGGCGGCAUGCCUUACACAUGCAAGUCGAACGGUAACAGGUCUUCGGAUGCUGACGAGUGGCGAACGGGUGAGUAAUACAUCGGAACGUGCCUAGUAGUGGGGGAUAACUACUCGAAAGAGUGGCUAAUACCGCAUGAGAUCUACGGAUGAAAGCAGGGGAUCGCAAGACCUUGUGCUACUAGAGCGGCCGAUGGCAGAUUAGGUAGUUGGUGGGAUAAAAGCUUACCAAGCCGACGAUCUGUAGCUGGUCGGAGAGGACGAUCAGCCACACUGGGACUGAGACACGGCCCAGACUCCUACGGGAGGCAGCAGUGGGGAAUUUUGGACAAUGGCGAAAGCCUGAUCCAGCAAUGCCGCGUGCAGGAUGAAGGCCUUCGGGUUGUAAACUGCUUCUGUACGGAACGAAAAGCCCCGGGUUAAUACCCUGGGGUCAUGACGGUACCGUAAGAAUAAGCACCGGCUAACUACGUGCCAGCCGCCGCCGUAA